rnacentral:rRNA from 1 species
CCUACGGGUGACAGCAGUCGAGAAUCAUUCACAAUGGGGGAAACCCUGAUGGUGCGACGCCGCGUGGGGGAAUGAAGGUCUUCGGAUUGUAAACCCCUGUCAUGUGGGAGCAAAUUAAAAAGAUAGUACCACAAGAGGAAGAGACGGCUAACUCUGUGCCAGCAGCCGCGGUAAUACAGAGGUCUCAAGCGUUGUUCGGAAUCACUGGGCGUAAGGCGUGCGUAGGCUGUUUCGUAAGUCGUGUGUGAAAGGCGCGGGCUCAACCCGCGGACGGCACAUGAGACUGCGAGACUAGAGUAAUGGAGGGGGAACCGGAAUUCUCGGUGUAGCAGUGAAAUGCGUAGAUAUCGAGAGGAACACUCGUGGCGAAGGCGGGUUCCUGGACAUUAACUGACGCUGAGGCACGAAGGCCAGGGGAGCGAAAGGGAUUAGAUACCCUAGUAGUC